GGGAAUCUUCCGCAAUGGACGAAAGUCUGACGGAGCAACGCCGCGUGAGCGAAGAAGGUCUUCGGAUCGUAAAGCUCUGUUGUUAGGGAAGAACAAGUACCGGAGUAACUGUCGGUACCUUGACGGUACCUAACCAGAAAGCCACGGCUAACUACGUGCCAGCAGCCGCGGUAAUACGUAGGUGGCAAGCGUUGUCCGGAAUCAUUGGGCGUAAAGCGCGCGCAGGCGGUCCUUUAAGUCUGAUGUGAAAUCUUGCGGCUCAACCGUAAGCGGUCAUUGGAAACUGGGGGACUUGAGUGCAGGAGAGGAAAGCGGAAUUCCAUGUGUAGCGGUGAAAUGCGUAGAGAUAUGGAGGAACACCAGUGGCGAAGGCGGCUUUCUGGCCUGUAACUGACGCUGAGGCGCGAAAGCGUGGGGAGCAAACA
rnacentral:rRNA from 1 species